CACCACCCAUCAGGGCAGCAUUCCCACAGGCAGGAGCAGGGAACGCUCAGCCUGGCAGGACAAACCAGGAGAGCGAUAGUCUGUUGCACGGGAGCUGUCGGCCAUGCUGUUCCAGUUCAGGGGCUCCUGCAACAGAAAAGAUCAGCUGUUGGAGAACCCAUGGAAAGCCCUGGGGGAGAGCCAUGGCCGCAAGGUAAUCAGCAGGCAAAGUUAUUACCAUUAUGCUGCUAAUUAAUUCCCAGCUCAUUACGUUUCCUGUGGCUAAUUUGUACUCGCCGCUGAUUUGAUUAAACUCAUCUCUAUGC